rnacentral:rRNA from 1 species
GAUGAACGCUAGCGACAGGCCUAACACAUGCAAGUCGAGGGGCAGCACAAUGGUAGCAAUACUAUGGUGGCGACCGGCGCACGGGUGAGUAACACGUAUGCAACCUACCUGUAAGCGGGGAAUAACCCGGAGAAAUUCGGACUAAUACCGCAUAACACUGAAUUACUGCAUGGUAAUUCAUUUAAACAUUUAUGGCUUACAGAUGGGCAUGCGUAUGAUUAGCUAGUAGGUGAGGUAACGGCUCACCUAGGCAACGAUCAUUAGGGGUUCUGAGAGGAAGGUCCCCCACACUGGUACUGAGACACGGACCAGACUCCUACGGGAGGCAGCAGUGAGGAUAUUGGUCAAUGGGCGAGAGCCUGAACCAGCCAAGUCGCGUGAAGGAAGAAGGUUCUAUGGAUUGUAAACUUCUUUUAGUAAGGGAAUAAAAAGGGUACGUGUACUCUAUUGUAUGUAC